GCCACCAGGAGCCCUGUACUACCAGCCAUGGUCAACCCCACCAUGUUCUUCAACAUCGCCAUCAACAGCGAGGCCUUGGGGCACGUCUCCUUCGAACUGUUUGCAGACAAGUUUCCAAAGACAGAAAACUUUCGUGCUCUGAGCACUGGAGAGAAAGGAUUUGGUUAUAAGGGUUCCUGCUUUCACAGAAUUAUUCUAGGGCUUUUGUGUCAGGGUGGUGACUUUACAUGCCAUAAUGGCACUGGUGGCAAGUCUGUCUACAGGGAGAAAUUUGAUGAUGAGAACUUCAUUCUGAAGCAUACAGGUCCUGGCAUCUUGUCCAUGAAGCAUACAGGUCCUGGCAUCUUGUCCAUGGCAAAUGCUGGACCCAACACAAACGAUUCCCAGAUUUUCAUCUGCACUGCCAAGACCGAGUGGUUGGAUGGCAAGCAUGUGGUCUCUGGCAGGGUGAAAGAAGGCAUCAAGAUUGUGGAGGCCAUGAAGCGCUAUGGGUCCAAGAAUGGCAAGAGCAGGAAGAAGAUCACCACUGCUGACUGUGGACAACUCUAAUAAGUUUGACUUGUGUUUUAUCUUAACCACCAGACCAUUCCUUUUGUAGCUCAGAAGAACACCCUCCACCCCAUUUG